GGGGGUCUGUGGCUCAGUGGCAGAGCCUCUGCUUUGCAUGCAAAGGUCGCGGGUUCAAACCCCGGCAUCUCCG
rnacentral:tRNA from 1 species